UACAUGUUGUAGAUCACUGAUUUCAUACAUUUGUUUUUCAAUUCCUUCCGUGGGUUUGUUCUCCAUCGAAUCCUUGAUCGUUUGAGAGUAUUUUCGUUCAAUUCCAUCCACGAAAUUGAUUGAGUACGAGUAUGGAUCAAUUGCUAGACCGGUUGGAUAUAGUUUCGACAAAAAAUUGUGAUAGACAUGUAUGUCAAGAUGUUACGAAAGAUUCUCGAAGUGUAAGCUUUAGAGUUUGAUUUCGCCAAUGGGGAUAGAGCCUUAGUUGAAGCCAUAGCUGAGAGAUGGUGGAAAAGUACCAGGAGCUUUCAUUUUCGAGAGUUUGAGAUUGGCCUCCUUCCUUUAGAUUGGUACAUGGUCUUAAAGGUAAGUUUGGCAUUAUAUUGAAACCUUGUCGUUAUUAUAAAAAAUCGGACAUGAAGGCAAUUAUGAGGGGGUUCUUGAUAAUGCACAACAUGUGUGUUGAAAUGGAAUAUCGGAAUGAGGAUUGGGGGAGGAUCACGGGAGAUGAACCUCAACCGCCAAUUCAAGGAAAUGUAAGGCUAGCUCCUCAUGUAUUGUACAACCCUGCGGUUUGGGGACAACUUCACUUGGAACUCACUACACACAUAUGGAACCGACAAGGAGAAGGUUUGAGAGAUGGUGAUAUUCCGAACAUGGUUAUGUAUGAUGCCUUGUCGGAAGUUGAUGAGGGUACAACCGACGUGGACACCGAUGAAGACCAAUAUGACCCUCAAGAAGAUGGUGCAUUUUAUGAGAAUGGAGAGUAAAUUUGAUAUCUUAAGUAGAAAUUUUAUGAGAAUGGUGCAUUUUAUGAGA